UACGAAGGGGGCUAGCGUUGUUCGGAAUUACUGGGCGUAAAGCGCGCGCAGGCGGCUAUCCAAGUCAGUGGUGAAAGCCCGGAGCUCAACUCCGGAACUGCCAUUGAGACUGUUUAGCUUGAGGAUGAGAGAGGUGAGUGGAAUUCCCAGUGUAGAGGUGAAAUUCGUAGAUAUUGGGAAGAACACCGGUGGCGAAGGCGGCUCACUGGCUCAUUACUGACGCUCAGGCGCGAUAGCGUGGGGAUCAAACAGG
rnacentral:rRNA from 1 species